rnacentral:rRNA from 1 species
UACGUAGGGGGCUAGCGUUGUCCGGAUUUAUUGGGCGUAAAGCGCGUGUAGGCGGCCAGAUAGGUCUGCUGUGAAAACUCGAGGCUCAACCUCGAGCUGUCGGCGGAAACCAUCCGGCUAGAGUCCGGAAGAGGCGAGUGGAAUUCCCGGUGUAGCGGUGAAAUGCGCAGAUAUCGGGAGGAACACCUAUGGCGAAGGCAGCUCGCUGGGACGUUACUGACGCUGAGACGCGAAAGCGUGGGGAGCAAACAGG